rnacentral:tRNA from 1 species
GGUUCCAUAGUGUAGCAGUUAGCAAGUCUGCUUUAUACACAGAAGGUCCUGGGUUCACACCCCAGUGGAGCCA